AUGCUAUGGACGUGGGAGCAUCAACUCCGUUCCUUUGGGCUUUUGAGGAGCGGGAGAAAUUGUUGGAAUUCUAUGAAAGAGUCCCGGGAGCCAGGAUGCAUGCCAGUUUCAUAUGACCUGGUGGAGUGGCACAAGAUCUGCCUCUUGGCUUAUAUCGCGAUAUUGAUUCCUCCACACAACAAUUUGCUUCUCGUAUCGACGAAUUAG
rnacentral:rRNA from 1 species